UCACUAGCCUAAGUUAGAGGCGGCCACGAUCACUGUGACAGAUCGCCAGGCUAGCCUGAGCUUACAUAUGAGGGAAAAGAACAGGCCUCCCUAGAUUCUCACGCAAAUGUUCCACAAGCCUCCAUCUAGAAGAUAGUAUCUUGAUGAUAAUAAGUGCAACAUAUUAGGGCUCUAGUUGACUGGCAUUUUAAAAUACAUUUUCAGCCAUUCUUCUUCUCAAAC